GACGAACGCUGGCGGCGUGCUUAACACAUGCAAGUCGAACGGAAAGGCCCUGCUUUUGUGGGGUGCUCGAGUGGCGAACGGGUGAGUAACACGUGAGUAACCUGCCCUUGACUUUGGGAUAACUUCAGGAAACUGGGGCUAAUACCGGAUAGGAGCUCCUGCUGCAUGGUGGGGGUUGGAAAGUUUCGGCGGUUGGGGCUGGACUCGCGGCUUAUCAGCUUGUUUGGGGGGUAGUGGCGUACAAAGGCUUUGACGGGUAGCCGGCCUGAGAGGGUGACCGGCCACAUUGGGACUGAGAUACGGACCAGACGCGUACGGGAGGCAGCAGUGGGGAAUAUUGCACAGUGGGCGGAAGCCUGAUGCAGCAACGCCGCGUGCGGGAUGACGGCCUUCGGGUUGUAAACCGCUUUCGCCUGUGACGAAGCGUGAGUGACGGUAAUGGGUAAAGAAGCACCGGCUAACUACGUG
rnacentral:rRNA from 1 species